UACAGAGGGUGCGAGCGUUGUCCGGAAUCACUGGGCGUAAAGGGCGCGUAGGUGGCUUGGUAAGCGUGUGGUGAAAGUCCGGGGCUCAACCCCGGAUCUGCCGUGCGAACUGCCGAGCUGGAGCAAUGUAGAGGCGGGUGGAAUUUCGGGUGUAGCGGUGGAAUGCGUAGAUAUCCGAAAGAACACCGGUGGCGAAGGCGACCACCUGGACUGAUACUGACACUGAGGUGCGAAAGCGUGGGGAGCAAACAGGAUUAGAAA
rnacentral:rRNA from 1 species